CCACAGGUUUCUCCCUCCUCUGUCUACUCACCAGGCCUCUCUGAGGACGCAGGAGGCGGGGUUGCCGUGGGGGAGGAGCACCCUGCAGAUGGCGCCCUGACUUUGGCAAGGAAGGGGCUCCAGGGUCACAUGGAGGUCAAAGGAGAGCGGGGCAUGGCGAGGGCUGCUCACACAGGGUCCUGGCCACCCACGGGAACUAACUGAAAGAGCAGGGGGCAUUGAGGCCCUGAAGACACAGGGAGAACGCAGGCCACCUGGGCGGAGGGGACGUUUCGCUCAUGCAGUCAUCAACAAACUUUAACUGAGGGACACAAGGGAAUCUCCAGAGAUUUAAGGAGUAAGUGCAUGAAAAGAAAGAAGGAAGGAGAGAGGACAGAGUCCCUGCACUGUCGGAACUCUCCUUGAAUAUAAGAUGACGGCUCAGAUGAAAAAAAUACCUACAAUGCAGAAUCAUGCAGGAGGUGCUAUAAAACUCUCCCAAAAUGAAGAAAAGAGAAAAAUCCUCGCCUUCGGGAGUCCACCUUGACAGCCCCAGCCCCGCACCCAGGGCCUGGCACACAAACAGCAAGCCGGGCCUCGGUGGAGUAGGUGCACCUGGGGCUGCAGGGCAGGGGGACCUGGACAGGUCUCAGAGGGGGCUGCUGAGAGGAGGGGAGGGGCUCGGUGGAAGGGUCAGUGGCCUGGCCCGGAAACCAUCCCGGAGGAGUUCCCUGGGAGCCGGAAGUCUGCAGAGCUGUCCCCAGGAGGCCACUGCAGGGGCCCCUUGCAGGUUUCUUACAACCACCUUUCAAACAUGGCCACUGGCAAUGACACAUAGCCUCCUGGAAAGCUGACCAGAUUGACUUCCACCCUCUGUGCUACUGACAUCAGAGGCACCGUGGGCAGAUCUGAACGUUAUCGAAGCACCGUAUUCUGGAACUUCCUGCCAAAUUUGCCUAUGGCACAUGGCUGAUUAUUUCAAGGUUGUCGUCUCUUUCCCUCUGGCUCCAGGCCAACUCCUGUACUCCCUAAACCGUGUGGCUGCCGACAGCAUGCAGAUCUGACAUCUGUCAGUCAAGCUUUGAGACAGAGAGCCAGCCAGUACUCUUCGCCUCCCACAUCCAAGUCCCUGGGGAAGAAAUUCCACCAGGCCUGCUCAUCCACAUGAAGUGCCUAGCACCAUGCCUGACAGUGAGAAGCAUGCGGCAGUGUCAGCUGGUCUUAAUACUGGAAGUGGUGAUAGGAUUUUUUAAUAUCCAUAAUAAUUACUAGGGCCUCUGUGUCGGUGUCUGCACAGCUCUGUUUUGUGGAUGACAGUGUUCUUGUGUGGAAUCAGCGGAUACUUAACAGCCACCUGGGCCUCUGUGGCCAAGCCCACUUCAGGCUUCAGAAGCUGGAACAACCAUAGCCAUAGGCAGCUAAAUAGGCUAACUCCCCACAACCUACCAGCUCCAUUUGGACAGCAUAAAUCCUGCUUGACAGCCCCCAGCUCUGAGCCCAUGACUAAGAAAUUCUCUUUUAAGUAGAAGAUAACAUGGUUGGACAGUGACUACCAUUUGCAAACAAAAAUUCGAAAGAAAAUGGGUGCCCCGAGAAGGCUGCGCCAGGAAGCACAGGAGCAGGGAGGGAGAGAAACCCUUCCAGAUCACACCCGCAAGGAUCACUCCUCCAACCAGACCCCACCUCCUAACAGCAAGGCAGCUGUGCUGCCCAUGUGGCUGAGUCACCUUCCAGAACCCCCACCUAUGAGUGCAUGAGGCCUCUGGGGGACAUUCUUGGUCUAAAUCACAAUAAUCUUCAGUACUGAAACACACACACACAAAACAAAGGGCUAGAGGUGUGACUCAGUAUUCCCUGGCUUUAAUCUCCAGUGCUGUAAAUAAAUAAGUAAAUUUUAAAAACAGAAAAUAAUAAGUAAAAUGAGGAUGUGGAGAAAUCAGAACCCUUGUGGCAGGUAGGAAUGUAAAAAUUGUACAACCGCUAUGGAAAACAGUAUGAGGGUUCCUCAGAAAUGUAAAGUAGAAUUACCGUAUUACCCAGCAACACUACUUGUAGAUAUAUACCCAAAAGAAUUGUUUGUUUAUUUUUUUUACUGGGGAUCAAACUCUGGUCCUUGCACCUGCAAGGCAGGCAGCGGAACCACUGAGCUAAAUCCCCAGCCCUAUACCCAAAAGAAUUGAAGGUAGGAUCUCCAAGGAAUAUGGGUGUAUUCAUGUUCAUAGCACCAUUGAUUAACAUAAGCCAAAAGAUGGAAGCAAUCACCAAAUGUCACUGACAGCUAAAUGGAUAAGCAAAAUACAAUGCAUGCAUACAAUGGCAUAUUAUUGUAUCAGUCUGCUCAGGCUCCCAUAAUAAAACACUAUAAACUAAAUGACUUGAACAACAUGGAUGUAUUUUCUCACAAAUAUAAACUAGAUGUCUAAGAUCAAGUCUCUGCCUGAUUCAGCUUUGGAUCAGGGUCUCGUCCUGGCUUGCAAAUAGCUGGCUGCUCCGUGUGUCCUCACAUGAUCUUUUCUUGGUGCCUGUGUGUGGAGGGACAAAAAGACAGACACAGACAGAGAGAACCAGCCCUCCAGUGUCUCUUCUUGUAAGGAGACUAACUCUAUCAGAGCAUGGCUCCACUACCCUUGUGACCUCAUUUAAAAAUGAAGGAAAUGGGCUGGGGAUUUAGCUCAGUGGCAUUGUGCCUGCCUUGCAAGUGCAAGGUCCUGAGUUCAAUCCCUGGUACCCGCCCCCAAAAACAAGGAAAUUUUGACAUCUGCUCCAAUAAGAAUGACCUCAAGGACAUAAUGCAAGGUGAAAUGAGCCAGCUACACACAAAAAAGACAAAUACUAUCUGAUCCAAUUAUAAAGUUCUUAGCAUCAUCAGGUUCAAAGAGACAGAAAGUAGAAUGCUGGUUGUCAGGGACUAAGAGGAAGAAGGGUGUGUUAGUUACCUUUCUCUCUCAUUGCUGAGACAAAAUACCUGAUACCCAAAGUUAGAAGGGAAGGGGUUUAUUUGGCUUAUAGUUUAUAGAAGUUUCAGCCCAUAAUCAGCUGACUCCAAGGAAGGGAUGACAAACAGGCAUGGCAGAACAGAAACAACAUGGCACACACAAGGCAGCAAAGGUAAUGAGAGAAAAUUACUGCUGUCUCCCUGGCCCUUUUAUUUUAUUAAAGCUACUUAGGGUGGAAAGCACUCACACCCUUAAUCCUAGUGCCCUUGAGCCUAGCAUUGCAUCAUGAAUCAAUUCCAGCUUCACACACCCUACCUAGAUCAAGCCUAUGACCACGUGAGGCUUUGGGAGACAUCCAGACCCAAACCGUAACAGAGGGAAUGAAGAAUUGUUGUGUAAUGGAGACAGAGUUUCAGUUUUGCAAAAUGAAGAGAGCUUUGGAGAUUAGUUGCUCAACAGUAUGAAUGUACUUAACACUACUGAACCAUACACUUGAAAAUGGCUAAGAUGGUAAGUUUGCUGAAAUGUGAGUUUUAUCACAAUUAAAAAUAACCAACAAACAAAGAAAUCCCCACUAGGAACACCACUCCACUCCUGCCUCCACUCCUAGAGUACUGGGGGUGAAAGGCAGGUGCUUUGAAAUAAGGAAGACCUGGCUUCACCUCUGCACCUCCCACAGCUACAAGGUAGCUGCCCAGUCUUCAAAAUGCAUCUUAUCCUUCAAAUGACUAAAUCUCAUUGAAUAUCAGGUUCCCUGCUGACUUUCUUGGGACUCUAGCAAAUUCCCAGUGGUCAGACUGCCUUGCAGUCCCUUAGCAGAUCCUCAGCAGAAGCAGAAGCUGGUAACUGGCAGCUGACCUGGGUCCUAAGUAUCUGAGUGCUGCACUGUCUGUAUUCUCCUCACCCCAUUGGCCCGUGUUUCAACAGCAUCCUACAGGGACUCCGCAUGUCUGACUUCAGAAAGAAAGAGCAGCAUGACUCCACUGCCAUUAAACUUGUCAAGAUUGUUCCCCAGAAGGUGCUCCCAGACCUAACGCUGACACCGAGGAAAGACCCUAGUUGGUUAUUUUGACACAUUCAGCCCAACUCUGCAACGGACUCAGUGACAUCCUCACUGGGCAGUUAGUUUCACAUCAGAGAAUACUUUGAUCCAUUCCAUGGGAUGCUCAAUGUGGAAUCAUUUAUCUUCCCUCUAGCUUUUAAAAAUGAGGAACUAGCCAGGUUUGGUGGUACACAACUGUAUUCCAGCACCCUGGGAGGGUGAAGCAGGAGGACUAAGAGUUUGAGCCCAGCCUGGGCAACUUAGUGAUUUAGUAGGACCCUGUCUCAAAAACACUGAAGAGUGUUGGGGAUGUAGUCGCAUGCAUAGGCCCUGGGUUCAAUCCUUAGUAUUGCAAUCAAUCAAUGAAUCAAUCAAUCAAUCAAUCAAAAAUUAAAAAUAAAAAUGAGGAGACUGAGGUCCAUAAAAGGUUAAGGGAUUUGCUUAAUGACAAUCAAAAGUAGAAAUGGGAAUCAAACCCACGGCUUUAGGAACCAAGUCCAGACAUAUUCCUAUGACGACAGGCUGCCUCACAAAAAUAAAAGUACCUUCUGAGUUUCUGUCAUCUUUGCUUAAGACCCAAGCCAAUUUUUUCCAUAUUGCUUCGGUUUUAAUAUAUGCGCUGUCAAAAUGAGCAUAUAUAAAAGCGUACAUCGUUAGCUAGGAUAAUUAAAUCCCUGGCUCAUCUGACCAUUUCACUAUAACAGCAGGCACUGUGUAGUUAACCCUCACUUUGCUGGUCCACCUCCCCUUGCAGACUAACAGCAAUAACAUCGCCUUGCAGAUAACAGGAAUGAUCCCUUUCCUAGUACCAAGGACAGUCUUUGAAACAAGAAUGACUGGAUAGAUUGGCGUCAGAUCACUGAUUAUGUGAGACAAAUGUGUGCCAUCCACCUGGACAAAUGUUUAUUUCAUAUCUCAGUCUCAGAAGCAGCAGGACAUCUGAAACAUGGAAGGGCUCCUGUACACUGUCAGUGCCCAGCAAUUUUGCAGAUGCCUUAUGUGUUGUGGUUAUGUUGGUUUUGGAUUUGGGUUUUCUUGCUUUUGGAGUUUAUUUUUGUUUUGUGCAUGUCCAUGUCUUUGUUUAUAAUAAAAUGCAC
ensembl:lncRNA